rnacentral:lncRNA from 1 species
CUCUGUAUCCGGCAUGUGCACAGCGUUGAGUAAACAUACCUGCUUUAUGAUUACUCUGUGGUUAUAGAGUUUGAUUCCACAUGUCAGAUGGGAAGCUGGACAUGAGCCAGCAAUGUGCCUUCACAGCCCAGAAAGCCAACUGUGUCCGAGGCUGCAUCAAAAGAAGUCUGGUCAGCAGGUCAAGGGAGGUGAUCCUGCCUCUCUACUCUGCAUUUGUGAGACCUCACCUGGAGUACUGCAUCCAAAUGCAGAGUCCUCAGUACAGGGGAGACAAGAAUCUGUUGGAUUGUGUCCAGAGGAGGACCACAUAAAUGAUCCAAAGAAUGGAAUACCUCUCCUACGAGGACAGGCUGAGAGAGCUGGGGAUGUUCAGCCUGGAGAAGAGAAGGCUCCAUAAGACUUGAUAUCUACCUGUCAGUAUCUAAAGGGGAUGCUGUAAGAGGGAAGGAGACAGACUCUUUUGAAGGAUCUCUUGUGAUAGGUCAAGAGGAAAUACUUUGAAACUAAAUGAGGGGAGAUUUAGACUGAAUAUAAGGAAGAUGUUUUUUAUGAUGUGUGCAGUGAAAUAUGUUGCCCAGAGGGAUGAAGAAUGCCCGAUCUCUGGAGACGUUCAAGAUCAGGCUGGACGGUGCUCAGAAGAGCUUGAUCUAGCUGUACGUCCCUGUUUUUUGCAGAGCAGUUGGACUAGUUGACUUUUAAAGGUCUCAUCUAACUCAAAAGAUUCUAUGAUUCGAUGAUAAGGAACUCCACAGUGAAGCAUGACUGCAACUCAGUUGAACAUUACCUAUCCUCCAAGCAGAGGUUAGAGUUAAAGUGAACUUAAAUAGCACCUCUACAGGAUACAUAUCCCACAGAUAUUGCACCCAUAUCCAUAAGAGUCCAAAUCAUAAGGCAAUGAGGCAAGUAUCAAGUCAUAUCUAUAAAUCAUCCCACAGGUUGCAGCCUAGAUCUUGAGAACAGAGCUAAGCUGGAGGCCAGCUUUCUCCCCUUCGGCACAGCUCAGAAGAAUUGAAAAGAAAAAUAAACUGUUUCACUCUGUCCUUUGUCGCUGUUCUCUGCUCUGAGCUGCACCUGCACUCACUAAUGCUGAGGAGGCCUAGACAUCUGGAAAGCAUAAGCAACAAUUUAAACAGUGUUCUUCAAGUGUCUCACACAGCUACAGAAAGACAAAGCUGAUUUUAUCUUGCUGUUAUGCAAAACAGAAAACAAAAACUGUGAGAACAUUUUGUAAGGCAUAUAUAUACACUUUGAAAUAGAGAUUCCAAGUCAUCCAACAUACCAAAGCAAUUAAAAUUUAAAAUUUGUAUUCACAACUGAAUUCUCUUGUAAAUUACUUAAGCUCAAAAUGUUAACAUAAUAGAUCUGUAUAAAAACAUCCAAACAUUUGUGUCUUUAAUAUAUUACUUUUUAAUAUUGUUUUUAGCUUAUAGCAUUUAGAAUUAUUCUGUAGUUGAUAUCUAAUCACUCAGUGCAAUUCAGAAAGAAAAUACUUGAUAAUUACAUUAAAAAAAUUUAUAAGAGGAGGAAAGGGAGAAGAAGUGCUUUUGCUCAAAUUAUUUCAUUGCUGUCAUGUUAAAUCAAAUGAUGUUAAAAACCCCUUUGGAAGCUUAGUAUGAUAGAAAAUUUCAGGAGAAAUUUCUCAAAGAUUUAGCAGAACUAUCAGAAAAUUUAUUGGGACCCUAACCCUAAACCUUAACCUAACCCUAAACAGUACACUUAACAAUAAACCAAGACCUAACCCAAAACAUAAACCUUACCCUAACCCUAACAGAAACACUAACCCUAACCAAGGACCUAACCCUAACCCCAACACAAAACCUAAUACUACACCUAUAGUAUAUAUAUAGUAUAUAUAAACCUAAUACUGGACCUAAAAUAACCCCUAACCCUAAAACUAAAUGCUAACCCGAAUACCUUAAACCUAACCCUAACACUAACCCUAACCCUUAUCCCUAACCCUAACCCUACUCCUAACACUAACCCUAAACCUAAACAUAAACCUAACCCUAACACUAACACAUACCCUAACCCAACACCUAACCCUAAACGUAACCCUAACCCUAAACUUAACGCUAACCCUACCCUAAACUUAACCCUAACCAUGACCCUAAACCUAAACAUAAACCUUAACCUAACACUAACCCUAACGCUAACCGUAAAGCUAAACCUAGCCCUAACCCUAACCCUAACCCUAACCCAACACCUAAAACUAAAAGUAACCUUAACCCUAACCUGUUGCUUUCUGUUAGUUUACAACACUAACCUUAACCCUAACCCUACCCUAAACUUAACCCUAACCCUAACACUAAACCCAAAGAUAACACUUAUCCUAACUCUAACCCUAAUGCUAACUCGAAACGUAAUACUAACCCUAAACCUAACUGUAACCUAACCCUAACCUAAGCCCUAACACUAACUUAACACUACUCGUAACUCUAACUACAAUCCUAACCCAAAACCUAAUCCAAGCCCUAUACCUAACCCUAAAACUACCCUAACAGUAAACUAUACACAAACCCUAACCUUAAACCGAGCCCUAAACAUUACCCUACAUUAGCCAAAACCCUAACCCUACUCUAAACCUACACAUAACCCUAACCCAAACCCUAACCUUAAUCUUAAACCGAACCCUACAUUAACCCUAAUCCUAAACCCAACCCUAAACAUAACCCUAACCCUAACCCUAAGCCUAAGCCUAACUCUAACACUAACAGUACCCUAACCCUAAUCCAAAUCCUAAAUCUAACCCUACCCUAACCCUAAACAUAACCCUAAAACUAACCAUAACCUUAACCCUAACCUUACCCUAACCCUACCCUAACCCUAAACCUAAUGCAAACCCUACCCCUAACCCUACCCGUAAUCCUAAAUAUAUACCUAACCCUAACCCUAAUCCUAUGCUAACCCUAACCCUAUCAUAACCCUAAAGCUAACCCUAACCCUACUUUAACCAUAACCUAACCCUAACCCUAACCCUAGCCAUAACACCCACCUAAACCCUAACAGUAACACUACCCUAACACUAACACUAACCCAAAUCCUAGCACUACCCAUACCCUAACCCUAACCCUAACCCUAACCGUAACUCUAACUCUAAUCCUAAUCCUAACCAUAACCAUAACCCUAACCCUACCGUAAACCUAAACCUAACCCUAACCCUAACCCUAAACUUAACACUAACACUAAAGGUAAACCUCACCCCACCCUAAACCUAACUGUAACCCUAACCCUAACUGUAAUCUUAACAGAAAUUUAACCCUAACCCUAAACUUAAUCCUAUCCUACCCUUAUCUUAAUCCUACCCGUAAACCCAACCCUGAACAUAACCCUAACCCUAAUCCAAUCGCUAACCCUAACUAUAAUCGUACCCCUAACCCUAUCCUAAUACUCACUGCAACCCUACUGUUGUAGUAGGCGCUUGACGGGGAUACGUGCUGUACGGGAUAGGCCUCUCCCUAAGCAUAGUGAAAGGGUACUGUUGUGCUCAGACAGAUUGUCCUUGCUAAUGAGUAAACAAGAUAAGAAGGCGAAGGAAUGAGGAGACGAUAGGAGCCAAUAAGGAAUUGUGGUAAGGGGCUAAGAACAAGUACGGACGAUUCAGGACAGGCCAGGAUAGCUCAAGAUAUAUAAGCUGUGUGUAUUAGUGAAUAAACGCCAUUUUGCUACAUCCCCA